UACGGAGGAUGCAAGCGUUAUCCGGAAUGAUUGGGCGUAAAGGGUCCGCAGGUGGCAAUGUAAGUCUGCUGUCAAAGAAUGAGGCUUAACCUCAUCAAGGCAGUGGAAACUACAUAGCUAGAGUACGGUCGGGGUAGAAGGAAUUCCUGGUGUAGCGGUGAAGUGCGUAGAGAUCAGGAAGAACACCGGUGGCGAAAGCGUUCUGCUAGACCUGUACUGACACUGAGGGACGAAAGCUAGGGGAGCGAACAGG
rnacentral:rRNA from 1 species